CACGUAGGGCGCAAGCGUUGUCCGGAAUUAUUGGGCGUUAAGAGCUCGUAGGCGGUCUGUUGCGUCCGCUGUGAAAACUCGGGGCUUAACCCCGAGCCUGCAGUGGAUACGGGCAGACUAGAGGUAGGUAGGGGAGAAUGGAAUUCCCGGUGUAGCGGUGAAAUGCGCAGAUAUCGGGAGGAACACCGGUGGCGAAGGCGGUUCUCUGGGCCUUACCUGACGCUGAGGAGCGAAAGCGUGGGGAGCGAACAGG
rnacentral:rRNA from 1 species